AUUGAACGCUGGCGGCAUGCCUUACACAUGCAAGUCGAACGGCAGCACGGGGCAACCUGGUGGCGAGUGGCGAACGGGUGAGUAAUGCAUCGGAACGUACCUUGCAGCGGGGGACAACGUAGCGAAAGUUACGGUAAUACCGCAUAUUCUGUGAGCAGGAAAGCAGGGGAUCGCAAGACCUUGCGCUGAUUUAGCGGCCGGUGUCGGAUUAGCUAGUUGGGGAGGUAAAAGCUCACCAAGGCGACGAACCGUAGCAGGUCUGAGAGGAUGAUCUGACACACUGAGACUGGGACACGGCCCAGACUCCUACGGGAGGCAGCAGUGGGGAAUUUUGGACAAUAGGGGCAACCCUGAUCCAGCCAUGCCGCGUGAGUGAAGAAGGCCUUCGGGUUGUAAAGCUCUUUCGGCGGGGAAGAAAUGGCAACGGCUAAUAUCCGUUGUUGAUGACGGUACCCGCAUAAGAAGCACCGGCUAACUACGUGCCAGCCGCCGCGGUAAUAC
rnacentral:rRNA from 1 species